rnacentral:sRNA from 1 species
AAAUGUUAUAGAUUACAAACAUCCACAUCGACUGUAUUUAGGGAUGUCAAAAUCGGUCAAAAUUCAUGGGUUAAUUCAACUCAACUCAACCCAUGAACCCUAAUGAGUUGAAAAUUUUGACUUAAAUGAGUUGAUGGGUCAGAUGGGUUGAUGAGUCAAUUGGUUUGAUGAGUAAAAUGAGUUGGGUUGUAAUGGUUAAUGGUUUCAAUGGUUUACCCAAUUAACCCAUCAAAUUUUGUAAAAUUGAAUUAAACCAACUAAAAUCUCUAAACCAAUGCCAAUUUAAGUUUAACCAACACAUCUAAACCAAUUUAAUAAAAUUAAUAUUUUUCCAAAUUUCUUAAAUAUACAAGCGAUGCAAUUGAGAAAAAAUAAACUCGUAAUUUUUCCACCAAAAAACAUAAACCCGUGAUUUUCCCGCCAAAAACGUAAACCUGUGAUUUUCCCGCCAAAAACGUAAAUCCAUAAUUUUCCCGCCAAAAACGUAAACCCGUAAUUUUCCCGCCAAAAAUGUAACCCCGUGAUUUUCCCGCCAAAAACGUAAAUCCGUAAUUUUUCCGCCAAAAACGCAAACCCGUGAUUUUCCCGCCAAAAACGUAAACCCGUGAUUUUCCCGCCAAAAACGUAAACCCGAGAUUUUUCCGCCAAAAACGUAAAUCCGUUAUUUUUUCGUCCAAAACAUAAAUCCAUCAUUUUCCGGCCAAAAACGUAAAAACCUAUAAUUUUCCCGCCAAAAACGUAAAUCCGUGAUUUUCGGUACAAAAAACGUAAACCUGUAAAAAGUGGAAUCCGUAAAUAUCUUAAGUUUGAUGAUAAUGAAUUAAUCGUGAUAAUUAUUUAUUAU